GCUCGCCCCGCUUCUGCUCCAGCAGCCGCCUGCGGCCGCUCUCGGCCUCCGACUCCAGCGCGUCGAACACGGCGGCGCCCACCAGCAGUUACUCUCCAAAAACACAGCAGCAUCAGGAUGUCAGUCACUGUGAUCUCACUGAAGUGCGGACACAAUGGAAUAACUGGUUCCUGCCUCGGGUCAACAGCAGCUUCCCAUUCCCUUCUUAUAAGCUGGCACUGUACAAGGCAUCAUUCAGAAUUCCGCAGUCAUUAUCCUAAUAGAGCACCAGCCUCCUGAAACUUUAAAAGGCAAGUCUGCUGUCAGCAGCUGCACAAUCUUGGAGGAGAGAUGGAGAAGACCUAAGGCUUGUCUGCCCAGUAAGAUACAUAACCUACUGUCACUGAGCCUGGGGCAUGCUGCCACCCACAUAGUCAUCACCAACUAAC